rfam:Gossypium arboreum cultivar AKA8401 contig_81850_1, whole genome shotgun sequence.
AACCUAUGAUAAGGGCAUCUUCUCAAAAUAUCCUUAAAUCUGUCCCAUGCAUCAUAUAAUGUCUCAAGCUCAAAUUGAGCAAAGGAUGUCAUUCCUCAACUUAGCU